GGUGGUAUCGUAUAGUGGUUAGUAUGCCGCGUUGUGGUCUUGUACUCACAAAUCAAAAUCCGCGUCGACGCCGGUUCGAUUCCGGCUACCGCCA